CGGGGCCGAGGCCGGAACUCUCGGGCGCUGGUCUCCCGGGCGCGGGGGAGGAGGAGGCUGCAGCGCACGCCGCGCGCGCCUCUUUGUGGUCGGACGGGCGAAUGCCUGGCGCCAUGGCGGAAAGCCGCUGCGACAGCGUCCGGGAAGAAAGCCAAAAGAUCUUUGAACUCCGAGCCACCUGCUCACUGGAGCCGGCAAUUUCCAAGAAACACUUGCAAGAACAGACAGGCCCUGUCCAGAAAGCUGUUGCAUUUCCCCAUCCGCUCAAGGACACAGGGCUCACUCGCCGGGCUGCGGAGGAAACCGGCCCCGUGAGGCAAACAUGAACCCUGCCUCCAAGCCGAGGCUUUCCCUCCCGGCGGCCCCAGCAGCUAUUCAAUUUUCUCAAGCAGAAGACCACCCUGGGAGUAUCAGAAGGAGUUUCCAGGGACCCACAGGCAGUCCGAUGGACAAGGUCGGAAGUAGAUUUCAGGAAUGUGCACUUCCAGGCUGGGGACCUGCUUGGUAUUUGCAGGGCCCUGGGUUCGGUAGCCAGUACUGGAAGGGAAAGGGCACUAUGUAAUAAUACACAUAAGGGCACACACAUACAUACAAAAUGCAGGUAGGUCACUCCUUUUCAGGGAAGUCUUCUCAUAUAUUAUCAUAUUAUAGUGGAUAUAUUUAUUUGUACAGCCUGUAAUUCCAGCACUUGGAAAGACCAGGAGUUCAAGACCAGCCUCUGCUAUGUAGUUAGUAGUUAGGAAGCCAGCUUGGUCUGUUAUGAGAGCGCAUCCAGGACACCCCAAAACCCAUUAUUCGGGUUUGAGACUGACUCCGACCCUUGAGAGCUAUCCAGAAUUUAGAAAUUUAGAGGAAAUUUUGGAGCAUUGAAAGAGUUAAAAUACAGAAAAUUUUACAGAUUUCAUUUAUGCCUCUGGGAGUAUGGGGAAACAAGGUGACAUUCUGGCAGCCUCGUAUUUAGGCAAGUCCGUUGACCUUUAUUAGGCCCUGGUUCUAGCUUCUAAGAGAAAAGUCCACCUAGAGGAAGAAAGAUAGUAAAUGUGAAUGGGGGAAAGUUCAGCCCAUACCUACCUGCAUCAGCCCGUACCUACGAUUGUCAAAACUGAGCAGGGGAAAAGGGACCUCUUAUUCUCGUGACUAUUUCUACAAGAUCGAGAGGGUUCCCGCAGCCCCGGUAUGUGGAAGGCAGCCAGGCAUCCCUUCUCGCCCCGGAUGCCAUCCCCACCUUCCUGGCCUGUCACCCGCACAGCCGGAACGCCGGCGGGUUCUGCAGCAACGGCAGCUCCGGAACUGCCGGCCUCCGCGUCCGCAGCGCCGCCGCCAGCCAGGCUGGAGCCAAGUCUGACCCCAGCGUCUGACCCCAGCUUAUCCAGGAACAAUGCAAACAGAGAGGAGCAUCCAGAGUCUGGGCAGCAGGUACAGGCAAAUCCCCUUUGCGUAUGAUGUCAAGCGAAACGUGUACAAUGAGGAGAAUUUCCAGCAGGAACACAAGAGGAAGGCCCCUUCUACCGGAAACUUGGACAUCAGCAUCACCACUUUCAAGCACCAUGUCCAGUGUCGAUGCUCAUGGCACAAAUUCCUACGAUGCAUGCUUACAGUCUUUCCCUUCCUGGAGUGGAUGUGUUUGUAUCGAUUCAAGGACUGGCUUCUUGGAGACUUACUUGCUGGAUUAAGUGUUGGUCUUAUUCAGGUUCCCCAAGGCCUGACACUGAGUUUGCUGACGAGGCAGCUGGUUCCUCCCCUCAACGUCACUUACUCUGCCUUCUGCUCGUCAGUUAUUUAUGUAAUACUUGGAUCAUGUCAUCAAAUGUCCAUUGGUCCCUUUUUCCUUAUGAGUGCUCUGAUGAUCAAUGUCCUGAAGGAGAAACCAUUCAACAAUGGUCACCUGAUCAUGGGAAGUUUUGUCAAGGAUGACUUUUCUAAUCCCAACUUCUACGUAAACUAUAAUAACUCCUUAAGCGUGGUGGCAACCACAACCUUCCUGACUGGAAUUAUUCAGCUGUCAAUGGGUGUGCUGGGCAUGGGCUUUGUGACCACGUAUCUUCCUGAGGCAGCGAUCAGCGCCUACCUGGCUGCUGUGGCCCUGCACAUCAUACUGGCCCAGUUGACAUGCAUCUUUGGGAUUAUGAUCAGUUUUCACGCUGGUCCCAUCUCCUUCUUCUAUAACAUAAUCAACUACUGCAUCUCUCUCCCCAAAGCGAACUCCACCAGCAUUCUGUUGUUCCUGACCGCCGUGGUGGCCCUGAGGGUCAACAAGUGCAUCCGCAUCUCCUUCAACCGCUACCCCAUCGAGUUCCCCAUGGAGCUGUUUCUGAUUCUCGGCUUCACUGUACUUACAAACAAGAUAAGCAUGGCUACGGAAAACAGCAAGGUGUUGAUUAACAUGAUUCCUUACAGCUUUGUGCUCCCUGAGACUCCAGAGUUUGGCAUUCUUCACAAUAUCAUUUCACAAGCCAUUUCUCUAUCGCUAGUGAGUGCCUUUCUGCUCAUAUCUCUGGGCAAGAAGAUUGCCAGAUUCCAUAACUACAGAGUCAAUUCCAACCAGUUUGCAUCUCUGGUAGGCGCAGGUGUGAUGCUGCUCCUGAUGGUGAAGAUAGGAAACUUCUUCCACAAUCUGCCCAAUGCCGUGCUGGCAGGAAUCAUCCUGAGCAAUGUGGUGCCCUACCUUGAGACCAUUUACCACUUACCCGGUCUGUGGAGGCAGGACCAGUAUGACUGUGUCAUUUGGAUGGUGACAUUCUUCUCUGCAAUUUUCCUGGGACUAGACCUUGGACUACUUAUUUCACUCGUCUUUGCUUUCUUCGUCAUCACUGUUCGUUCGCACAGAACGAAGCUCCUCGUCUUGGGUCAGAUCCCCAACACCAACAUCUAUAGGAGCGUCAACGAAUACCGGGAGGUGGUGUUCAUCCCUGGGGUGAAGAUCUUGCAGUGUUGCAACUCCGUCACCUUCGUCAAUGUGUAUGCCCUAAAGCACAAGCUGUUAAAAGAGGUCAAUAUGGUAAAGACGCCUCUUAAAGAAGAAGAAAUUUUCACUCUGUUUCAUGAAAGUGAAACCAGUGUCUCGGAACACAAAAUAUGUAGGUGUUUCUGCGACUGUGAAGAGCUGGUGCCGGAGAGCAGGAUUGUCUACACAGAGCGGUAUGAAAACAAACAGGAGCGGGGCUAUUCCUCCACUAACCUGAUCCGCUGCUCCUACCUGGGCAACGCAGAGUCAAGCCCGAGCACCUCUGAAGACCCUGUCCCCUACACAGUGUCUUCCACAUCACAGAGAAAUCUGGGGCAGAACUACGACGACAUGGAGAAAACCUGGGUGUCCAACAACCCCUCAAGAAACAAUUCACUACCGCCGCCUGAGACCACGGAGAGCUUAGCACAGAGCAAAUCCGUCAUCCUGCCUUACUCAGACACGGCUCUGCAGAUGAGUAUCCACACCAUCAUUCUGGACUUUUCCAUGGUGCACUAUGUGGAUACUCGGGCUUCGGUUGUGUUAAGGCAGAUGUGCAAUGCUUUCUACAAUGCCAACAUUUUGGUGCUCAUUUCAGGGUGUCACACCUCUGUGGUCAAGUCAUUCGAGAAGAAUAAUUUCUUUGAUGAAGGCAUCACAAAGUCCCAACUCUUCCUCAGCCUCCAUGAUGCCGUGCUGUUUGCCUUGUCAAGGAAGCUGCCUGAGCCCUCGGAGUUAAGCAUAGACGCAACUGAGACAGUGAUACAGGAAACCUACUCAGAAUCGGACAAGAACGGCAAUCUGAGACAUAAGGCGGGUAGCAGCGCCAUGGACGGUUCUCAGCAUGUGAAUCCCAACUACGGCAAGACCCGUAAGCCCCUUCAGGAUGACUUGGACUUUGACCUGGACCCCAUGCUGACUUCGGGGCAGAGCAGUGGGAUGGCUCUCAACCUGGACCUGGACCUGGAGUCAGAGCUAGACCCUGAAUCCGAAAUAGAGUCUGAGGUGCAAACCAAGCCUGAGCUGGAGUCAGAGUUUGAGACAGAUGCCCAGACAGAGCUUGAUAUAGAGGAGACGGAGCCAGAGCCAGAUUUAGGGAGAGGGAAGAGGCCCCAGCCUAAGACCAGGACAAGGGCUUCCAGCCCCUGGCGGAACUACUUGAGUGCUUAUCGCUUUGGGUCUUCAGGCUCCCAGUCUCGGGCUCCUCCUCACACUCGCUCAGUAGAGAAGAAACAGCCACGUACUCAUCCGAACUCCUAAGGCAAAGAGGACGCGUGGUAGGUGAAGUGGAAAUAGAUAGCAAAUCCUUCCUGCCCGUAGGGCAUCACUCCACAGGAGAUCUAGACCGGGCACCAGCCUUCAGUCUGUGACCCACCUCCUGCUGAACUUCCUCCUCUGGAUUCUGGGGUCACAUCUGGGGACAGUUGUCUCUGAGCUCUGUCUCCAGGCUUCCCAGAUUUGACCUUCAGCAGAUUUCCAGUGAAGGCUUCCCUGCACAUACUCCAGGCCUCUGGGAACUGUAUAGAUUGUAUCUAACUUCCCCUUCUCAUCUGUUUCCCUUUCUCCAAAGAAAUGAGGCUGGAAUAAAGUAUGUGACUCCACUUAACAUUGAGAGCUCUCCUGCUUUUCUCUGUACCCCGAAACCCUGAGGAAAUGUUGGAUGAGAGGGCCUCCAGAAGGCAGCCAGCAAAUGGAAACUGGUUAGCACUUGGAGCUGACAUUCGAGCUUUUCUCAGCCUCUGGGUGCAGCCAGGCCAGAGGUGAGCCAGGCUUCAGGGCCAGAGCGCGGACGCUGCCCAGAGGGCACUUUCACCCUCAGUCUUCCCUGUCGUUCAGUGGCACCAACACAAGUGAAUGGUGACAUCGUUGGCUCCAUCGACAGCUGUUCUUUCUUACAGGUCUUCCAAGCCAACGUGGAGCCAGACCUUCUGGUGGGCCAGACUUAACUUAAAAUGUGUGAUGGAUGGAAGAGCCGGCUCAGCGGUUUAGAGCACUGAUUGCUUUUGCAGAGGACCUGGGUUUCAGUUCCCAGCACCCACAAUGGGUGGCGGCUCACACGUGGGUGUAACUCCAGCCCUCCCCAAUGGCACUACAUGCAUGUGCUGUACAUACAGAUGAGCAAGCACACAUACACAUUGAGAAAAAAUAGAUAAGAAUUUAUCACCGACAAACCCCGUGGGCUAGGAAAAGUCAUCCUAGUCUUAUUCAGAUCCACUUAAAGUUUCCUUGUUUCUCCAUUAAAACUGUCUGGUAAUAAGUUAAGCCUAGAAAAGGAUCACAAAAGGCCUGUGGCCACAGAUACACCAAACCUUACAUUUUCCUUCCGGUCAAUGAACAGGACUCCUCCUGCUUGGGUUCUUAGCCUCGCUUGUCAGGUGAAAGCUGCCUGGGGGCUACGGAGGUGGCUCAGGAGAGAGCUAGCACGAAGGCCUGAGUUCAGGUCCCCAGCAGCCCUGGAGGGUGGGGGUGACAGGAGCGGGAAGAUGGCUGCCACUCCUUAGACUAGGCCACCAGACCAGCCAAAACAUGCCACGCUCCAGACUCGGGAGAGACUGAGUAGAGGACAGAUAGCCGGUGCCUUCCUCUGCCCUCCACGCAUGUGCCCACACGCACUUGUACACACACAUACACACACACAGCCCCAGUCAUGGAUAACGUGUUCUCUCGUUGCACAAGUGCUUGCUGGCCAUCUGUUGCACCUGGCGACACAGUGUUGAUUGUCACCUUGAGAGAAUCCAGGAAACAUGCCUCCUCCGGGGCCUUCCCAGAGAGGACCCCUCCGAGGGCAGGACCUCCCCGGAGUGGGCAGAAGCUUCCAGUGGACAACCCAGAGGCCGAGAAUGUUGCCGUCUGAGCCAGCCUGUGCGCUGUCCCACCGUCCUCUGCUGCCCUCAGACUCCAGUGUCCUUGGCCUUCCAAUAUGGGCAGACUCUAGGAACUGCUGACCACCGAGAGGUGUCAUCUCACGGACUAACCAGUUACAGUAAGAUACACAGCCACUGUUGGCCAACCUGGCCCCUGUCAGGGUCUUUUGGCUGCAUAUAAGGCUAUGCACUCUGCACCACAUGCGUGCCUGGGACCCAUGGAGGCCAGGGACGGACACUGGAUUCCCUGAGCAGAAGUGAGGGCACCAGGAGUGAAACCCAGCUCUCCUGGAAGAGCAGUCAGCACUCUUACCUACCGAGGUAUCUCUUCAACCUUAAAAAAAAAAAAAUAAAACAAACAAAACCCCAUGAUUUCUGGGGAUGGGACUCAACACAGAGCCUUGUGCUUGCAAGGCAAGCGUGUUCCUGACUGGACCGUCCCGCACCCCAAAUCAGUACCUAGAUGCCUGUGGCCCCAGCGUACACAGGCAGCACACCUCCUCCUGUCUCCCCAGCGCUCACUGAAGGCCUCCUGUGAGUGAGCAAAGGCACCUGGCUGCUGCAGAGCUGUCACUCCACGGAUGGCGGGAAAGACAAGGCAGCUCAGCUCAGGAGCACAAGGCUCAAUGUCGGGGUCCGCGCUGUUUGCGAGUCCAGUGGCUUCCAGUCAUGGAUUCACUGCGUGAUUCAACGAGGGUCUCUUGGAGCUGUCAGCUGGCGGGCAUUAUACAGACAGAGUGCUAAAAGACCUGGGGUGGGGGCUCAUGAGAUGGCUCAGAGGUGAAGAAGCCUGCUGCCAAGCCCGAAGAUCUGAGUUCAAUCCCCAGGACCUACCUGGUAGAGGAAGACUACUGACUCUUACACGCUCCUCUCUGAGUAGACACGGGGACACGGACAAACAUUUUAAGAAGGACGGUUUGUAUAUAAAAAUACAUACUUAUAUAUAAUAUAAAAUAUAUAUAUGUUGGUCAAAGUGGCACACACCUUUAAUCCCAGAACUCAGGAAGCAGAGGCGGGCAGAUUUCUGUGAAUUUGAGGCCAGCCUGGUCUACAAAGUGAGUCCAGAGAAGUCAAGGCCACACAGAGAAACCCUGUCUCAGAAAACCAAAAAUAGAGAUAGAUAGAUAGAUAGAUAGAUAGAUAGAUAGAUAGAUGGAUGGAUGGAUGGAUGGACAGAUGAAUAGAUAGAUGGAUGGAUAGAUGGAUAGAUUUAUUGAGGGCAUACAAACCACACUCUGUGAGUGGGACUCAGAGAACAAUCUGUGGGAUGGUUCUCUCCUGCCACCAUAUGGGUUCCCGGGUCACAAGUUGGCAGCACCCACCUUUACCCGCUGGUCUAUCUUGUCAGCCCAGUGAUGGCCUUUCAAACACCCACUCUACAGAUUACCAGGCAACGCCUGCCACCAGUGAGGCCCAUUGCUCCUGGAACUUGUGCUGGAGACAGAGGCUCCAGCUCCCCAGGCGUGUGCUUCGCCACAGAGCCUGCCUUGCUGCCAGCCCCUUUUAUAGCCCCCACUUUUUAUUCUGAGACGGGGGCUCUCAAAGUUGGGCAGGCUGGCCUUGAACUUGCAACCUUCUUGCCUCAGCCUCUCAAUUAGUAACACCCCAAUUAGCCAAAACCCCAUUUACGAUAACUGGCUUGAACACAGCUUGGUGCUGGCUAACAAAGUGUAGGGCAAAGUCCACCUCCAUUGUCUGCAGCCCACUCUGAGGCUGACAGAACUGUGACUCUGGGACCUGGGUCAAAAAGACAACAGUCUCGGACCUCAAAGAACUGACACCCCGGGUCCUGUCAGAGCUGCGUUCUGCCCGUGCCUUCUUCACGCAGAGUGAGGCCGGCAGGCGUCAUCCCUAACCAGAAAACAGACAAAACCUCAGAGCUGGGCGCGGUCAGCUCAGGUCUCUGGGCCAUGCCCUCUGCUGCCUCUCACCUGCUUCCCCCUGCCUGUUUCUCCUGUUCCUCUAUUCCCAGCCCACCCACCAACGUCCCUCCAUCUCCGCCUUCCCUCCAGCCCUUCGCCCAGGCUCAUCCUCCUCUGAGACAGAGCAGAAAGGUCCAGGCAGCUUGUGUGCUCUGAGCUCCUCAGGCUCACCUGCCAGGGAGACUCCAGAGCUGCUAUGGGUGUAGCCACCUCCUGGACAGGCUGGACCGGCUAGUCUCCGCUCUCUGCUCCCCUUCACCCUGCUAGGCCUGGGAGGCUGCCUGGAGCCUGUCCUAAGAGGAUAUGCCGCCGCCCCCUUCUGACUUGAGGUGGGUUCCGGCAGCGGGAGCCUGAGAGGGGAAAGACACCGGGCGCUUGCUUCCCUUGUGCUUCUCAGAGGGCCCAGCUGCCGCCGUGGCUGCAGUUGUGUGAGCAGAGCAUCCCCAACGAGCCAGCCCGGCUCGGCCACCCAUCCUCAAUAGCCAACCAAAGAGCUAAGUCAGCGGAAAGCUGCGGAAGGAGAUUUAGAAUCUAGUGCGCGCACCCUGCGGUGAGAAAGGAAGAGGCCUGUGACCUGCCGGUCUUCUCUGGGGUCCUGAUGCGAGGUUUGGCUUUAAUGGAGGUCCCCGGCCAUGCCCAGCUACGCAGUCCCGGUCAGUGUGGUGUGGCCCCGCCCAUCGCUGACCCAGGGCUGUCCGGGCGCCAGUCUCUCCUGCGAGGUGGCCUGCCGCUUGUCAGAAUCCUGUGAAAACGUCUUCCUGGGAGACAAGUUCCCCCUCUACAGGCGUCAGGCUUGUCCCUCUCCCAGCGUGAGAUUCCUGGGGAAUUACAAUUCCUCGUAGACCUUUGUGUCAGUAACCCGAUGGCCACAGGGAGGGGCGCAAUCCCCGUCUCUGUCUGUCGCCUCUCUCUGUCUCUCCACACCCACACCCACGCACAGGAUUUCACGUAGUCCAAGUUGACCUCAAGUAUGCUACGUAGCUGAGAAUGACCUUAAACUGUGGUCCUCCCACCUCUUCCUCCAAGUGCUGGGAUCACAGGCAUGCGCCAGCACACCAGGUUUGUGGGGACCAAACCCAGGGCUCUCUGUGUGCAAGAGCCUGUCUAUAGUAUCUUCACUGCUGCUGGGGCUUUCGUUACCACGCCCCCUCCCCCCCUUUUAACAGCUUUGCGAUGGACUGAGACACAAGGAGGACAUGGCCACCUACAAGGGAAGGAAAGGAGCUGAGGGAGUCUCCUUCCAGCCCUCGGGAGAAGCCAAUCCCGCCAGCAUCCGCAUCCCAAGCCUCUAGCUUCCUGAGUUUCUGCUUUGAUGCCAUGGCCGUAGCUUGUUCUACUGACUCCAGAAAAGUAACAGACUCUCUCAGUGUUCUGGAGAAUGGCUCCUUUCCUGUCCCUCAAGGUCACAAAGUAUCUCCAUCUAUGUAAACUGUGGGAUUUUCCUAUCCAGAAAGCAUUUUCUGCUUACAGCUUCAGUUUCUUUGUUGUUUAUAUCCUCCAGCAGGAUGAAGGCAAACCACAGGGGACUUGCCACUUUGGAAUUAGUUUGUAUUUAGUGUAACAUGUUGUCGGCCUCAAGAUAAAGGCCAACCAAGGCUAGUAAGUCAACUCCUGUGUCAAAAAAGAAAACAAAAGCUGAAACAAGCAAACAAAAAAAGAUAAAGAAUGUAGCUGGGUGCGGUGGCAGGCACUUAGUACUCAGGAAGCAGAGGCAGGAGGAUUGCCUGGAGUUUGAGGACAGCCUGGACUUUGUAGCAGAACCGUAUCUCAAAAGACCAGUAACAAUGAAAGGACAGUGACUGUGAGACUUGAGGACACAAAAAAAGUAUGUUCCGGUUGUGCAGGCUUAAGUGAUCAGAUUUAGAAACUGCCUCAGAAGUGUUGGGGGAAGACUACAAGAACAGUCUUUACAAGUAUGUUACUUGUAGAGGAAUGGGAUUUUUUUUUUCCAGAAAUUAAAUUCUGACACCGCCCAUGAGCAGCCAAAAAUAUGAUGGCUUUUGCUGCCUGAAUAAUUCCAUUUUAAAAAAGAUUUGCAGAAAAACAGCUGGGGGAGGAGGCAUGUGUAUCCAAGAGGCAAUGAAUGCCAAAAAAAAAAAAAAAGAAGAAGAACAGCACACCACUCUUUGAGACAGGGUCCCAAGUAGCAGAGGCUAGCCUUGAACUGGCUAUGUGGCAAAGGACAACCUUGAACUUCUGAUCAUCUUGUUCCUGCUUUCCCAGGGCUGAACUUACAGGAGUGUACCACCUCAGUUUUAUGUAACCCAGAGCAUCUGCUUGCUGUAGCCACUGAGACAUGUCCUCAGCCCCAAUAAUUACUACUAUUAAAUAAUUUCCAGAAAGUUAAAGUCCAGAAAAGACAACCUUUUUCUGAACUGACAGCAACGAGCACGGGAAGGUCUGAUAGUUACAUGGUUUACACAGUUUACAAAUAUAAAUUAAGAAGCAGAAGUCAGGUGGGUGGACUCGAUCACCUUUAAUCCCAGCACUCGGGAGGCUGAGGCAGGUGGAUCUCUGACUUCAAAGGCCAGCCUCAUCUACAGAGUGAAAUCCAGGACAGCCAGGGCUGCACAGAGAAACCCUGUCUUGAAAAACCAAAACAAAUCAAAACAAAACAAAAGAAAAGCAGUACUGGAAGUAGCUUUUUCUAGGAUAGGAGGCGAAGGUACAAACUUACAUGAAGAUUCAUAGAGACCUUAGAAAAAGUGUGGAGACCCUAAUAACGCCUAUGGAACAAGAAGGAAAAAAAAACACAUGAGGGGGAAAAGAUAGACAGAUGACCAAUUCUGGGAAAUCAGUUCAGUGAAUUUUAUGUGGCCGCUGGAAGAGAUUCUCAGCUGAGUUGUUGAGCAUGUGGUCAGCAAGAAGCAAUGGGCAGCAACACACACACACACACACACACAGGCCUGAGGAGGCCAGGUGUCAGCUCCUAGAACUGGUGGUGUCAGCUGCCAUGUGGGAAUCAAAGUCUGGUUCUCUGCAAGAGCAGCCAGCACGCUUAACCUCCGAGCCACCUCUCCAGCCCCCUGGUCAUCACUUUACUAAACUGCUGGGGGAGGGGGGAGGGCUAGUUGGUCCUGGAAACCUGACCGGGAUGAUGAAGGAAUGAAGACAGGCACACUGAAAAAACCGGGAUCAGGUGAGCAGUGUCCACAGUGGCAGAGGGCACCCACCACGCAAUUGAAAACUCAGAGUGUUGGUUCCGCACAGCACAAGGACAGGUAGGUUAGCUCGCCUCGAAGGAGGUCUCUGCAGGGGAGCAGUCUCAGGCUGUAACACGGGGACAACGUGGUCCUUGGUAUGCCUACAACUCACAUUCACUCAGGACGUGAUCGGCUCCCCAAAGGGGUUCCCUGGGCUAGUCUCAGACUCUAGGACAUCAGGUCUUUUCUGGCCCUGUUAUCCUCCGAGUCUCAAGUUUAAAGCAGAAAGCAGUUUUCUUUGGCUAACAAGGGCUGGCCUCUUUCACAAUCAACCCAGAAAUGCCACCGUUCAGGUUCUGUGGAGCCGGAGCCGACACAGGUGAUCUGAAUUUCCAAUCAGGCACACCCACCUUUCCAGCCCCACCUCUCCCGUACCUGCUGUCAUUCUUGGCCCCAGUCUCCACCCACAAGUUUCCAGCCUGGACAUUUUUGCUCAAUUGAUUUUUCUUUUGGGAAUGCUUGCUAUCUCCUUCUCCACCUAUGAAAAUCCUACACCCUUCCCAGCACCCACAUCAACAGCCGGGUUGGACUGAUUCACCUACUUGGCUCACGAGGUCGCGUCCAGGGCCCCCAGGCUUGAUCUGUGCUCUCAUCUUCCUUUCCCAACCAGUUGACUACAUGUCUGCCUUCCCUCCUUCCCUCCAUCCUCCUACUUAUUCUGCUUGCAUGUAAAUGUGUGUGCAGUCUGCAUAGAAGUAUUAUGUGUCCCUAUGUGUGUAAGCACAGUUGUGAGUGGUGCAUGCGUGCGUGUGCCUGGGCAUGGGGAGGCCUGAGGUUGUCUCCUCCCCUUUAUGGAGGCUCUCACUGAACGGGAGCUUGCCACCUUAGCUAGCUAGCCAACUUCCUCCGGGGUCCUUUGUCUCCAGCAGGCCACUGCCCCUGCCCAACACAUUUAUGGGUUCUGGGGCUCCAAAUGCCAGGUGAGUGCUCUACCCACUGAGCUAUCUCCCGAAUGGGAGUUCCACUUCUUGUAGAGCAGGGUUUUGAUGCCCUACCCUGUCCAGCUGGAAGGUAGACA